rnacentral:rRNA from 1 species
UACGGAGGGGGCUAGCGUUGUCCGGAAUUAUUGGGCGUAAAGAGCUCGUAGGCGGCUUGUCACGUCGGAUGUGAAAGCCCGGGGCUUAACUCCGGGUCUGCAUUCGAUACGGGCUGGCUAGAGUGUGGUAGGGGAGAUCGGAAUUCCUGGUGUAGCGGUGAAAUGCGCAGAUAUCAGGAGGAACACCGGUGGCGAAGGCGGAUCUCUGGGCCAUUACUGACGCUGAGGAGCGAAAGCGUGGGGAGCGAACAGG